UACAGAGGGGGCAAGCGUUGUUCGGAAUUACUGGGCGUAAAGGGCGCGUAGGCGGCCCGCUAAGUCGAACGUGAAAUCCCCAGGCUUAACCUGGGAACUGCGUCCGAUACUGGCAGGCUUGAAUCCGGGAGAGGGAUGUGGAAUUCCAGGUGUAGCGGUGAAAUGCGUAGAUAUCUGGAGGAACACCGGUGGCGAAGGCGGCAUCCUGGACCGGUAUUGACGCUGAGGCGCGAAAGCUAGGGGAGCAAACGGG
rnacentral:rRNA from 1 species